CGUGUCAAAAAACUGACGCCAUCCUGUGUGUUUACAUGAGUGAAAGAUUAAUUUUAAAUAAUUAUUUAAUGUAUUUUAUUUUAAGAAAUAGUAAAACAUGGAAACAAAUGAUAGUGAAUUCAAACUUGAAUUUGACACGGCGAAAAAUAUAUGUCGUUGCUGUUUAUCAACAGACAAAAGAAUGACGAAAAUUGAAUCAUUUCGUGGUUUUUUCAUCGAUUUAGCAGAUAUUAUAAUAUCAGAGUCAGAUGGUUUACCGCAGUGGCUUUGUUUUGAAUGCAGUGCUUUGUUGCUCAAGAGUGUUCGUUUCAAACAAAAAGUUAUACAUGCCCAUACAAUGUUAUACGAAUACCAUAAUCGAUGUGCUCCGUUUCCCAUGGACGGGGAAGAUCCGGAAUUAACAAAGUAUGCGAGCCCGUAUUUAAGUAAAUCAAAUACGCUUGUAUUUGAUACGACUAGAAGUAAAAACGGUUACCACAAGGUCCUAGAGCAUGAUAAACCGAAUUAUCUAUCCAACUUAAUAGAUAUACCCGUGGACGAUAUGGGCGACAAUAUAUCUAUAAAGGAUGAGUAUGCGUUUUCGGAAGUCGAUGACGAUCUACCACUACUCGAAAUCAGAACGAAUAAAGCAAAGAACCUAGAAGAUCUCAUCGUGACAGAUAUUAAAGAAGAGAAAAAAGAAAAGAAGAAGAAAGUUAAGAAGAACAUUAAAACGAAAUCCCUUAAAGCUGUCGAAGAUAAAUUAGAUAUAGAUGUAAAUUCAGAGGCUUUAGAACCAAAGAAAAGUGUACUCAGGAAGCAAAUAGAUAUAGAUGAAACGAAAAUUAGAAUUAUUAAAUUGGAUCCGGCCGAGCAGCUAAAGCAGCGCGAGGAAGAGAGUAAAGCUACGCUGAAGUUUCCCUUCCAAUGUCACCUUUGUUUCAAAGGAUUCAAUUUCGAAGUUAAACUCAAGAAUCACAUGUUCAAACAUAGUCCGGCCCGUGGUCCGUACAAAUGCGAACUCUGCACGAUGCACUUCCCGAGCGCGUACUCGUCGUCCGUCCACGCGCUGACGCACACGCGACGGUUUGAGUGCAUCACGUGCGGGCGACGUAUGACGGACAGGCUCGCCAUGAUCAAUCAUUACAGAUCACAACAUGAAGGCGUCCUCUCCGUGUUCACUUGUGACAUUUGCGGGAAGAUAUCCAACAACGACAAGACGCAUCGCGGUCACAUGCGCAACCACCACUCGGGGACUCGCGUGAAGUGUGACGAGUGCGGCAAGAGCUUCGUGAACCGGGACUCGCUCGUGGAACAUCAGCUGAUACAUCAAGGUAUCAAAAACUACGAGUGCGAGGAGUGUGGCAUGAAGUUCCGAACGAGGAAUCAGAUCCGACACCACAUGGUGAAGCACAGCGACGCCAAGGACUUCUACUGCGUCGAGUGUGAUGUUCGAUUUAAAUCGGCGCACACGCUCAGGCAACAUUUGAAGAGGAGUUCGAAACACAAAGAUAAAAAAAGCCUAAAGUUCGAAUGCCCGUCGUGCAUAAAACGGUUCGAGACGGCGAAGCAGCUGUCGGCGCACACGCGCGUGCAGCACGAGGGCGUCCGCGAGCACCCGUGCGGCGCGUGCGGCGCGGCGCUGGCGUCGCGCGCGUCGCUCAACAAGCACGCGCGCGCCGUGCACGCCGGCCUGCGCGCGCCGCCCGCGCACGUCUGCCACACCUGCGGGAAGAUGUUCCGGGUCAGCGCGCCGCUCGCCGCUUUCUACUAUACACGCCGAAUCCAAAAGCGAAGUCGACGCUGGUGAACCACGUGCGCACGCACACGGGCGAGAAGCCGUACGAGUGCGGGAUCUGCGGGCGGCGGUUCGCGCAGCGGACGGCCAUGCGCACGCACAUCAAGCUCGUUCAUCUGAAGAUACACCGCAGUGCCCGGAUCAAACCGAAGUUACCUCCGCCGGAAACAGCACCAAAGUCUGAUAUAUACAAGAACGAGUCCCCACUCAUGUUCGAGUGGGGACGACAGAACGCGCAGUGCGAGUACUUCACCGUCACAGCGGGGCCUUGAAAAGUGUUUUACUUCAUGAGGAAUAAAU